rnacentral:rRNA from 1 species
UACGAAGGGGGCUAGCGUUGCUCGGAAUCACUGGGCGUAAAGCGCACGUAGGCGGACUCUUAAGUCGGUGGUGAAAUCCUGGAGCUCAACUCCAGAACUGCCUUCGAUACUGAGAGUCUCGAGUCCGGGAGAGGUGAGUGGAACUGCGAGUGUAGAGGUGAAAUGCGCAGAUAUCAGGAAGAACACCAAUGGCGAAAGCAGCUUUCUGGGACGGUACUGACGCUGAGACGCGAAAGCGUGGGGAGCGAACAGG